rnacentral:misc_RNA from 1 species
AAGUCGUAACAAGGUUUCCGUAGGUGAACCUGCGGAAGGAUCACUGGUAGAGAGAGGGUGGGUGGGGGGAGGUUUUUGGGGAAAGUGGGGAGAUGGAGGUGGAGAUGGAAGUGGAGAUGGAUAUGAGAUUGAUUUAAACGUCAUUUCAUUCCAUCACCAUUUCCUUCACCAUCUCUUUCACCACACACCCCACAUACAGCCCUCACCACAUUAUCACGCUUGUUUGUUUGACUGUACAUUGACACAAAAAAUCACAACUUUUAACAAUGGAUCUCUUGGCUCUU